GAUGAACGCUGGCGGCGUGCCUAAUACAUGCAAGUCGAGCGAAUGGAUUAAGAGCUUGCUCUUAUGAAGUUAGCGGCGGACGGGUGAGUAACACGUGGGUAACCUGCCCAUAAGACUGGGAUAACUCCGGGAAACCGGGGCUAAUACCGGAUAACAUUUUGAACCGCAUGGUUCGAAAUUGAAAGGCGGCUUCGGCUGUCACUUAUGGAUGGACCCGCGUCGCAUUAGCUAGUUGGUGAGGUAACGGCUCACCAAGGCAACGAUGCGUAGCCGACCUGAGAUGGUUGUCGGCCGAACUGGGACUGAGACGCGGCACAGACUCCGACGGGGGGCAGCAGUAGGGAAUCUUCCGCAAUGGACGAAAGUCUGACGGAGCAACGCCGCGUGAGUGAUGAAGGCUUUCGGGUCAUAAAACUCUGUUGUUAGGGAAGAACAAGUGCUAGUUGAAUAAGCUGGCACCUUGACGGUACCUAACCAGAAAGCCACGGCUAACUACGUGCCAGCAGCCGCAGUAA
rnacentral:rRNA from 1 species